UAAUUUAACUGAUUUUUCCGA
rnacentral:piRNA from 1 species